UCUUCAGUAGUUCAAUCGGUAGAUCACUCGUCUGUUAAACGAAGGGUUAUAGGUUCAAGUCCUAUCUGAAGAG
rnacentral:tRNA from 1 species